AGGUGUCCCGCACAGCCUCUCUGCACACUGCUUGCAGCUGUGGUCUUCAUGGUGUCGUGUGCAGCACUUCUGCACAUGGCUCCCAGCUGAGAAGUUGGGCUCAGAGCUCUCUGAUGAGGAACUCUGGUCUGAAGUGCCCUAGGUGAGGCUUCUGCAGUCACUUCCCUCUGAGCAAGUGGAAAUAGAGGAAGCACAGAAGAAAGGGAAAAGGAACCUCACAUUUACCCCUGCUGCUGUUGCUGCUGCUGCUGCUAAGUCUAUUCAGUCGUGUCCGACUCUGUGCAACCCUAUAGACGGCAGCCCACCAGGCUCCCUCAUCCCUGGGAUUCUCCAGGCAAGAACACUGGAGUGGGUUGCCAUUUCCUUCUCCAAUGCAUGAAAGUGAAAAGUGAAAGUGAAGUCGC
ensembl:lncRNA